rnacentral:lncRNA from 1 species
AAAAAUUUAACAUUAUUUUUCAUUAUAAAUUUUAUUUAUUACCUUUACUAGUUGUUAUUUUAUCAUAUGGUACAAAAAUCAUUCCAAAAAAUCAAUUCGUGUUGGCCCAAGGUGACUUUUAAAAUGUAGAUAUCAAUUGAAAAAGCUCCAAAUUAUCUCCCUUUGGUGCAAAAAUGCUAUUUUUUUGGCAUUAAAAUUGAAAAAUCUUUUAUAACUCAUCGGUGACCUAUAUUUUUUAUAUUUGUUUUGAAUAAGCUGUAUAUAAACUAAAUAAUUGUAAAAUUUAAGCGAUUUCUUUAAUUUAGUUCUUUUUCUAUUUCGAUAUUACCGCUAUUUCUCCUAUUAGUUCAACAGAAAAAAAGGACAUUAACAAAAAUGUAUGUUUCUUUCGAAGGCAGAUUGUGAGUGUAAAUGACAGUGACCCCAUUUUUUUAUUUCAUUUUUCUAUUGAGAUAAAGUUCAUUUAUAGAAAAAUAUAGAGAAAUCUUAUAUUAAAUAAAAAAUUUGAUUUAGACCCCUUAAAUGCGAUUUUAUAUUUUGCGAUAUUGAGAAAAAUCAUGUUUAAUUCAUAUGAAAAAAUUCAAAAUGCGAGUUAUCUU